GACAGAGGUGCCGAGCGUUAGGCGGAAUCACUGGGCUUAAAGCGUGUGUAGGCGGGUCGUUAAGUGUCUUGUGAAAUCCCACCGCUCAACGGUGGAACCGCUGGGCAUACUGGCGAUCUUGAGCAGUCCAGGGGCGAGCGGAACAAGCGGUGGAGCGGUGAAAUGCGUAGAUAUCGCUUGGAACGCCGACGGUGAAAACAGCUCGCUGGGGACUCGCUGACGCUGAGAGACGAAAGCUAGGGGAGCGAAUGGG
rnacentral:rRNA from 1 species